rnacentral:tRNA from 3 species
GCCCCUGUGGCGGAAUGGUAGACGCGGCAGACUCAAAAUCUGUUGUCCGCAAGGGCGUGUUGGUUCGAGUCCGACCAGGGGCACCA